UCCCUGGUGGCUUAGAGGGUAAAGCAUCUGCCUGGGAUGCAGGAGACCCAGGUUCGAUCCCUGGGUCAGGAAG